rnacentral:rRNA from 1 species
UGGCUGGUGUUCUAACGUAGACCCGUAAUCCGGGUUGCGGACAGUGUCUGGUGGGUAGUUUGACUGGGGCGGUCUCCUCCCAAAGAGUAACGGAGGAGCACGAAGGUUGGCUAAUCCUGGUCGGACAUCAGGAGGUUAGUGCAAUGGCAUAAGCCAGCUUGACUGCGAGCGUGACGGCGCGAGCAGGUGCGAAAGCAGGUCAUAGUGAUCCGGUGGUUCUGAAUGGAAGGGCCAUCGCUCAACGGAUAAAAGGUACUCCGGGGAUAACAGGCUGAUACCGCCCAAGAGUUCAUAUCGACGGCGGUGUUUGGCACCUCGAUGUCGGCUCAUCACAUCCUGGGGCUGAAGUAGGUCCCAAGGGUAUGGCUGUUCGCCAUUUAAAGUGGUACGCGAGCUGGGUUUAGAACGUCGUGAGACAGUUCGGUCCCUAUCUGCCGUGGGCGCUGGAGAAUUGAGGGGGGCUGCUCCUAGUACGAGAGGACCGGAGUGGACGCAUCACUGGUGUUCGGGUUGUCAUGCCAAUGGCACUGCCCGGUAGCUAAAUGCGGAAGAGAUAAGUGCUGAAAGCAUCUAAGCACGAAACUUGCCCCGAGAUGAGUUCUCCCUGAGACUUUAAGUCUCCUGAAGGAACGUUAAAGACGAUG